rnacentral:snoRNA from 1 species
CAUCCUCAGCCUUACUGCAGGGGCUUUUUGCCUGGAGAGUGCCCUGGCAUUGCUUAAGGAUAGAGGAGAAAGUAUUCCCUCCCCAGCAAGAGUCUGCUUUCUUGUGGGGCCUACAGAUUGAGCUGGCAGG